rnacentral:rRNA from 1 species
GUCAUCCUCAGUUCGGACUGGGGUCUGCAACCCGACCCCACGAAGCUGGAUUCGCUAGUAAUCGCGCAUCAGCCAUGGCGCGGUGAAUACGUUCCCGGGCCUUGUACACACCGCCCGUCAAGCCAUGAAAGCCGGGGGCGCCUGAAGUCCGUGACCGCGAGGGUCGGCCUAGGGUGAAACCGGUGAUUGGGGCUAAGUCGUAACAAGGUACC